GGAGAUGUAGCUCAUUGGUAGAGCAUUUGUCUAGCAUGCAUGAAGCUCUAUGUGCAAAGUUCAAGUCUUAGCACUACCA
rnacentral:tRNA from 1 species